UACAGAGGUCUCAAGCGUUGCUCGGAUUCAUUGGGCGUAAAGGGUGCGUAGGUGGCGCCGUAAGUCAGGUGUGAAAUUUCGGAGCUUAACUCCGAAACUGCAUUUGAUACUGCGGUGCUUGAGGACUGGAGAGGAGACUGGAAUUUACGGUGUAGCAGUGAAAUGCGUAGAGAUCGUAAGGAAGACCAGUGGCGAAGGCGGGUCUCUGGACAGUUCCUGACACUGAGGCGCGAAGGCCAGGGGAGCAAACGGG
rnacentral:rRNA from 1 species